UACAGAGGGUGCGAGCGUUGUUCGGAAUUACUGGGCGUAAAGCGCGCGUAGGCGGCUUUGUAAGUUAGAGGUGAAAGCCCGGGGCUCAACCCCGGAAUUGCCUUUAAGACUGCAUCGCUUGAAUCCGGGAGAGGUGAGUGGAAUUCCGAGUGUAGAGGUGAAAUUCGUAGAUAUUCGGAAGAACACCAGUGGCGAAGGCGACACACUGGCUCACUACUGACGCUGAGGCGCGAAAGCGUGGGGAGCAAACAGG
rnacentral:rRNA from 1 species